rnacentral:rRNA from 1 species
CCAGACUCCUACGGGAGGCAGCAGUGGGGAAUAUUGCACAAUGGGGGGGACCCUGAUGCAGCGACGCCGCGUGGGUGAAGGAGCACCUCGGUGCGUAAAGCCCUAUCGGCAGGGAAGAAAAGCGAACAGGUUCGCCUGGACGGUACCUGACUAAGAAGCCCCGGCUAACUACGUGCCAGCAGCCGCGGUAAUACGUAGGGGGCAAGCGUUAUCCGGAUUCACUGGGUGUAAAGGGAGCGUAGACGGCCAGACAAGUCUGAAGUGAAAAUCCAGCGCUUAACGUUGGAAGUGCUUUGGAAACUGCCGGGCUGGAGUGCAGGAGGGGCAGGCGGAAUUCCUAGUGUAGCGGUGAAAUGCGUAGAUAUUAGGAGGAACACCAGUGGCGAAGGCGGCCUGCUGGACUGCAACUGACGUUGAGGCUCGAAGGCGUGGGGAGCAAACAGGAUUAGAUACCCCUGUA